GGACGAACGCUGGCGGCGUGCUUAACACAUGCAAGUCGAACGGAAAGGCCCUGCUUUUGUGGGGUGCUCGAGUGGCGAACGGGUGAGUAACACGUGAGUAACCUGCCCUUGACUUUGGGAUAACUUCAGGAAACUGGGGCUAAUACCGGAUAGGAGCUCCUGCUGCAUGGUGGGGAUUGGAAAGUUUCGGCGGUUGGGGAUGGACUCGCGGCUUAUCAGCUUGUUGGUGGGGUAGUGGCUUACCAAGGCUUUGACGGGUAGCCGGCCUGAGAGGGUGACCGGCCACAUUGGGACUGAGAUACGGCCCAGACUCCUACGGGAGGCAGCAGUGGGGAAUAUUGCACAAUGGGCGGAAGCCUGAUGCAGCAACGCCGCGUGCGGGAUGACGGCCUUCGGGCUGUAAACCGCUUUCGCCUGUGACGAAGCGUGAGUGACGGUAAUGGGUAAAGAAGCACCGGCUAACUACGUG
rnacentral:rRNA from 1 species